rnacentral:rRNA from 1 species
UGCGUAGGGUCCGAGCGUUGUCCGGAAUUACUGGGCGUAAAGGGCGCGUAGGCGGCCUUCUAAGUCAGACGUGAAAUCCCCCGGCUUAACCUGGGAACUGCGUCUGAUACUGGAGGGCUUGAGUGCGGGAGAGGGAUGUGGAAUUCCAGGUGUAGCGGUGAAAUGCGUAGAUAUCUGGAGGAACACCGGUGGCGAAGGCGGCAUCCUGGACCGACGCUGACGCUGAGGCGCGAA